GAUGAACGCUGGCGGCGUGCUUAACACAUGCAAGUCGAACGGUGAAGGCGGAGCUUGCUCUGCUGGAUCAGUGGCGAACGGGUGAGUAACACGUGAGCAAUCUGCCCCUGACUCUGGGAUAAGCGCUGGAAACGGCGUCUAAUACUGGAUACGAGCUGCGAAGGCAUCUUCAGCAGCUGGAAAGAACUUCGGUCAGGGAUGAGCUCGCGGCCUAUCAGCUUGUUGGUGAGGUAACGGCUCACCAAGGCGUCGACGGGUAGCCGGCCUGAGAGGGUGACCGGCCACACUGGGACUGAGACACGGCCCAGACUCCUACGGGAGGCAGCAGUGGGGAAUAUUGCACAAUGGGCGAAAGCCUGAUGCACCAACGCCGCGUGAGGGACGACGGCCUUCGGGUUGUAAACCUCUUUUAGCAGGGAAGAAGCGAAAGUGACGGUACCUGCAGAAAAAGCGCCGGCUAACUACGUG
rnacentral:rRNA from 1 species